rnacentral:rRNA from 1 species
AUGAGCAAAAUCUCAACUUUAUUAGAAGAGACGCAUUUAUUAGAUAAAAAGCCAGUUCAUGCUUUUACAGCAUGAAAAUUGGUGAUUUAUAAUAACUUAGCAAAUCGCAAAGUGAAAACAGGCGAUAAAUCAUUCAAGUUUCUGACCUAUCAGCUUUCGACGGUAUGGUAUUGGCUUACCGUGGCAGUGACGGUUAACGGGGGAUUAGGGUUCGAUUCCGGAGAGGGAGCCUGAGAAACGGCUACCACAUCUAAGGAAGGCAGCAGGCGCGCAAAUUACCCAAUUCUAACAGUUUGAGAGAGGUAGUAACAAGAAAUAACAAUACAAGGCAGUUAAAAUGCUUUGUAAUUGGAAUGAUAGAAAUUUAAACCCUUUUUAAAGUAUCAAUUGGAGGGCAAGUCUGGUGCCAGCAGCCGCGGUAAUUCCAGCUCCAAUAGCGUAUAUUAAAAUUGUUGCAGUUAAAAAGCUCGUAGUUGAAGUUCUGCUGAAAGUAACCGGUCUGCUUUUAAUAAAAGUGGUAUCUUGGUAUGUAUUUAGCAAUGAUGUCCUUUGAAGUGUUUUUUACUUUAUUGUAAUAAGGCAUAUUCAGGACUUUUACUUUGAGAAAAUUAGAGUGUUUCUAGCAAGCUGACGCUUUGAAUACUGCAGCAU